GCCAAGUGAACCGCUGAGCGCCAGAAUGGACCGUUGAGCGUCUAGAGCGAUUAGAGGGAAACCACUCAGCGGCAAAACUGACUGCUGAGCGGUCAAAGCUGCUAGAGGGAAACCGUUGAGCAGUGAACUUAGGCACUUGGGCGGUUGUCUGUUUUUAUUAGUUAGAUUCUGUAAUCUUUCUGUUAUCUUUUUGGGCUUAUAUAUAGCUCCAGU
rnacentral:lncRNA from 1 species